CCUACGGGUGGCAGCAGUGAGGAAUAUUGGUCAAUGGACGCAAGUCUGAACCAGCCAUGCCGCGUGCAGGAAGACGGCUCUAUGAGUUGUAAACUGUUUUUGUACGAGGGUAAACUCAGAUACGCGUAUCUUUCUGAAAGUAUCGGACGAAAAAGGAGCGGCUAACUCCGUGCCAGCAGCCGCGGUAAUACGGAGGAUUCAAGCGUUAUCCGGAUUUGGUGGGGUUAAAGGGUGCGUAGGAGGUCGGGUUAGUUAGUGGUGAAAUCCCGAGGCUCAAAUUCGGAAUUGCCUCUGAUACUGGUAGGCUAGAGAGUAGUUGCGGUAGGCGGAAUGUAUGGUGUAGCGGUGAAAUGCUUAGAGAUCAUACAGAACACCGAUUGCGAAGGCAGCGUACCAAGCUACGUCUGACGUUGCGGCACGAAAGCGUGGGGAGCAAACAGGAUUAGAUACCCCUGUAGUC
rnacentral:rRNA from 1 species